GUCACGUCCAAGCAGAAGGCCAGUCAGCCGUCAGCGUUUCGCGCGUUUUCUGUAUUUACCGCAGCAGAGUUUGCAGCGACCUCCGUUGUGGUAUUUUGUUCCUCGGAGGCAUGCCCUCGGAAUCGGAAAAAGGAGGUGAUCAAUAUGCAGUCGUCAAGUUUCCAGAGGAAGGCAACUCUGUGGCUCUUGUACAUACCAAGUGGCUGCAUGGCGAUGUCUGCUUGUGGCCACAGGAUUCCAAGAAUGUUUCGUAUUUAGCAAAAUGUGGAGCCUCUCCAUCCUCCAGCUGGCAAGUCGUGCCAUGUGUGCCCAUAGACACAUUCAGAACAUAUGAUGCAGCGCGACAAAAGCUCAAGCAAGCUGAAGAUGGGUCAGACUUGGGGAGUGAAGUGGACCUGGGACGGGGCAAAAGAAAAAAGCAACGAAGGGCCCUUAGCUCAAGUCCGGAAAGUGUGCAGCGACUACC